UGCCGGCGACCGGCGCACGGGUGCGUAACACGUAUACAAUCUACCCUUUACAGGGGGAUAGCCCUCCGAAAGGAGGAUUAAUACCCCAUAAUAAAUUGAAUGGCAUCAUUUGAUUUUGAAAGAUUUAUCGGUAAAGGAUGAGUAUGCGUCUGAUUAGCUAGUUGGAGAGGUAACGGCUCCCCAAGGCGACGAUCAGUAGGGGAUCUGAGAGGACUACCCCCCACACUGGUACUGAGACACGGACCAG
rnacentral:rRNA from 1 species